AUGUAGAUGACAUGACAUGAAAUUCGAUGCGACGGUGAAUUUUCUCGCAUGCAUAUACAUCUAAGCACACCUUCCCUUUUUUAGUCGGGUCCAUUCCGUUUUUUAUUUAUUUCUUAUUCUUCUUUUUCUGUCAAAAUGUUUCCACG
ensembl:ncRNA F08G5.20 ncRNA